CCCCGCACCGGCGGUCGAAACCCGCUAACGCACGCAAAAGUGAAGGGGUCGGCCGCGAAAAGAUGAUUAACCGGCUGAAAAGAUAAAAAGAGGGGUGCAACACGAGGACUUCCCAAGAGGUCACCCACCUUAGUACUGCUCUCGCCCAAGCACUCUUAACUGCGGAGUUCUGAUGGGAUCCGGUGCAUUAGUGCUGGUAUGGUCGCACCCAUCAGCAUGUGCACUGCAAAUCUACUUAAGCCGUGCCCCCCUCGCCUGCCCCGACUCGGCCGCCGCACAAUUCAUCCUUCCGCGGCCCUUUCCCCGCACCCCGGCGGGUCCGAGGUGCCCUGGAGACACCGCGCCGGCGGUCGAAACCCGCUAACGCACGCAGAAGUGAAGGGGUCAGCCGCGAAAAGAUGAUUAACCGGCUGAAAAGAUAAAAAGAGGGGUGCAACACUAGGACUUCCCAAGAGGUCACCCACCUUAGUACUGCUCUCGCCCACGCACUCUUACCUGCGGAGUUCUGAUGGGAUCCGGUGCAUUAGUGCUGGUAUGGUCGCACCCAUCAGCAUGUGCACUGCAAAUCUACUUAAGCCGUGCCCCCCUCGCCUGCCCCGACUCGGCCGCCGCACAAUUCAUACCUCCGCGGCCCUUUCCCCGCUCCCCGGCGGCUCCGAAGUGCCCCGGAGACCCCGCGCCGGCGGUCGAAACCCGCUAACGAACGCAAAAGUGAAGGGGUCGGCCGCGAAAAGAUGAUUAACCGGCUGACGACGAGGGUCAAAAAAAUUGUAAUCUUAAAAAUGUGUCAAAAUACAAGAAAAAUUCGAAAUUAAGGGUCAAAAAACGGCCCCAAGCUCCUCCGGAGCUUGACCACCCUAUUUGUCUCCAAAAGUUGAAGGGGUCGGCCGCGAAAAGAUGAUUAACCGACUGAAAAGAUAAAAAGAGGGGUGCAACACGAGGACUUCCCAAGAGGUCACCCAUCUUAGUACUGCUCUCGCCCAAGCACGCUUAACUGGGAGUUCUGAUGGGAUCCGGUGCAUUAGUGCUGGUGUGGUUGCACCAAUCAGCAAGUGCACUGCAAAUCUAGUUAACCCGUGCCCCCCUCGCCUGCCCCGACUCGGCCGCCGCACAAUUCAUCCCUCCACGGCCCUUUCCCCGCUCCCCGGCGGGUCCGAGGUGCCUUGGAGACCCCGCGCCUGCGCUUGAAACCCGCUAACGCACGCAAAAGUGAAGGGGUCGGCCACGAAAAGAUGAUUAACCGGCUGACGAUGAGGGUCAAAAAAAUUGUAAUCUUAAAAAUGUGUCAAAAUACAAGAAAAAUUCGAAAUUAAGGGUCAAAAAACGCCCCCAAGCUCUUCCGGAGCUUGACCACCCUAUUUGUCUCCAAACAUUGAAGGGGUCGGCCGCGAAAAGAUGAUUAACCGGCUGAACAGAUAAAAAGAGGGGUGCAACACGAGGACUUCCCAAGAGGUCACCCAUUUUAGUACUGCUCUCGCCCAAGCACGCUUAACUGCGGAGUUCUGAUGGGAUCCGGUGCAUUAGUGCUGGUGUGGUCGCACCGAUCAGCAUGUGCACUGCAAAUCUAGUUAACCCGUGCCCCCCUCGCUUGCCCCGACUCGGCCGCCGCACAAUUCAUCCCUCCGCGGCCCUUUCCCCGCUCCCCGGCGGGUCCGAGGUGCCCCGGAGACCCCGCGCCGGAGGUGGAAACCCGCUAACGCACGCAAAAGUGAAGGGGUCGGCCGCGAAAAGAUGAUUAACCGGCUGACGACGAGGGUCAAAAAAAUUGUAAUCUUAAAAAUGUGUCAAAAUACAAGAAAAAUUCGAAAUUAAAGGUCAAAAAAUGCCCCCAAGCUCCUCCGGAGCUUGACCACCCUAUUUGUCUCCAAAAAUUGAAGGGGUCGGCCGCGAAAAGAUGAUUAACCGACUGAAAAGAUAAAAAGAGCGGUGCAACACGAGGACUUCCCAAGAGGUCACCCAUCUUAGUACUGCUCUCGCCCAAGCACGCUUAACUGGGAGUUCUGAUGGGAUCCGGUGCAUUAGUGCUGGUGUGGUCGCACCCAUCAGCAUGU
rnacentral:lncRNA from 1 species